AUUAAGGUAUCAUUCUUUUUUUUACAAAAUUGUGGCCGAAAGCUUAUGUAGAUAGGAAAGAUAAUCAGAAAAUGGAUCAGAUUCCAUGCUUUCAAUGUUUUUAAUUGCCAAGGAAGCAUUUGGACUGCCCUACUUCUCAUCCUAGCAUCUCCUUAUGAAAGGGCACUUAUGUUGUUUGAAAAGUCUCCACAUAUUCAAAGAGAAAUCUUUACUUAAGAACAAAAUUUUUCUCUAAGUAUAAAAUAACAAAAUGGAAUUGUUCUUUCACAUUCAUGUCCUUAAUUGAAAGGGGGAACCGGGGAAGAAUAACAGUUGUUACAGAAAAUGUUCCAUGUUGAAUAAAUAUAAAAUAUAUUGAAGGCCUUGUAUGAUAUUUCGAACUUACUAGAUCCUGUCAUGAAAAUCCAAGUCUGGCCCGAUAUUAAAAUCCAACCCGAAUCAAUUUGUUGGGCCUGGAAAAUUUUGCAGGCUAAAAUCUUUGGGAUCCCAGGCCCGUGCACAGGUCCAAUGACGAGUGCCACUUUCUCGGUGUUAUCCCUUGCAACAAUUUGUCAUCGUGAUGACUUCGGUCAGAUCCGUUUGAGUUCGUGUCUGGUGACUCGGAAUCGGACUCGUUUUUUUUUUUUUUUUUUUUUUUUUUUUUUUUUUUUUUUCUUUUUUUUUUUCC
rnacentral:lncRNA from 1 species